CAUCCUCUACGCCCAUCGCGUGCGUACACUUGCCUGCGAGCUUAUAGCUGUAACUACCACCUGGCGCUUCCUCGCUGAAGGACACAGAAAGAGGGGAAGGGAGAUCGGCACCGAGUCGAAGAACACAGUCUCCUCCACGCACACAUACGCAUGGAAGCAGGCGCCAUGACCUCCAUCGCUGAUGGUGCUGAAGAAACAACCUCGGCUGUUGUUGAUGCGCCAGCACCCGCGCCGCGGCCCUUGUCACUGUUGCCCCCGCCACUGGUCUCGUCAGUUGAUGAGAAGCCGCAGCUGCAGCACUGCUCACAAGAAGCACCGGUCGCCGAGCAACAAGACGCUUCACUCCCGCUGCCCCUGCCCGCCUCACCCAUGACACGCCGGCGUAAGCGGCCCCUCGCCGCAACGACCGCCGCCAUUGCGCGGGGUCGCAGUCCUCGCGGUUCGGCCGCGGCGCAUCCUGCAGCAGCCACCCCCUCGGCACUUCUGGCACCGACUAAAAGGCACCCGCCACAGCGCUCCCGGACAGCGACAGCCGCGGCAAGUCGAGCCACUCCGUCGCCGCCGAAGCCUGCACCACCACCACCACCACCCUCGUCAUCGCCACCGUCACUUGGAAGAGAUCCAGUGCCGCCGCCGAGGGGCAAUGCAGCGCCUUCUGCUGGCGGGCGCUGCACGUCAGCGGCUCGCACGCCGUCAUCACAGCAGCAGAAGCGGCCACCACCCUCCGGGGCUGCACGCCGCCUCGCAACGGCGGCGAAGCAGGUGUCGUCGUCAGUCGCAUCGCCGUACCAAUCACUCGUCGACGCCGUCCUGGAUGAACAGUUUGCGACUGGAUCUAGCUCGCAGCAGCAGCAGACGGCAGCGGCGGCAGCAGCCACAGGAGUGGCCGUGGGUGGGGGCGACUCAAUCGUGGUAGCGGUGGUGCCGAGUGAACGCCGAGCGCAGCGUCUCGCUGUCACUGGUCGAACGGAGGAUGGCCCCGACGAUAGCGAAGAUGGCGGUGAAGCCGCGGCCUCUGCGCUGGCGCCGCUUCACCAACAAGCCUUGCGACUCCAGCCACUUCCACCCGUGGCUCCUGCAUCGGCGUUGAUGCAAGAGGUGUCGCUGGCGGGCGGAGACGAUGGCGAGCUAGCGGAGACGUUGGCGGACGUCGUCGCCGUCGCGCCAACGCAGGCAAGAGCAGCUACGCAGUCGGCCGCGCAGUCGGCAUUGGCGGUAGAGCGCGCGCGCCUGCUACACGACAGUCCCUGCACGGUGGACGAGCGGGACGCCGCGGGCAGAAUGAGAAGUCUAGAUGCAGAGGCCCGGGAGGGUCUGUGGCGGCCGACGACAGAGCCGCGUGUUGUGGCACGCGCCUUCGAUCACGCUGGUGCUGGCGCUGCCACAAAUCACGGACACGCGAGCGCUGUCUCCUCGAGGGCACCAAAUCGGAUAAGGACGGCUGCGGCGCUGCCCGCAGCAGUGGUCGAGUUUCUGAAAGCCGAGGCCGACGCCGAGGCGGCUGUGAAGGGCACAGCCGCGACUGCCACUGGCGCCGCGGAGCGCCAAAGACGUGCCGUAUCGCCAAAACGCAGCCGCGACAUCGCGGGCGCACGCGCCGGUGCCUCGUCGGCGUCACCUCCCACGACAGCCCUCUCGACCUCGCCCCCUCUUGCGAGUUUUCCACCGGUGCUGUCGCCAGCAGCCGAGAGCGCAGCAGUCUUACGAGACCUGAAAGAUGUGCAGCGACGUCUGCACGCGCACGGACAUCGCCGAGGGACCGCCGCGGCGGCGGCCGGAGCGACACCACCGGAGGCGAAGGCACGCAGCCCUGCCGCAGCAUCGUCCAACAGCACUCAAGGCCCGGAGAGCUGCUCCCCCUGUGACAUCUCCGUCGCUGCCUCGUCAGCCUCAUCGACUGCAACCAGCAGCAGCAGCAGCAGCAGCAGCAGCGCAGCAAUGAAGCACAGCAAGCGGCACGGUAGCGCUCGCAGGAACCGCAUGGUAGGGCUUCGUCGCGCCAGCUCCGAGUACUGGGCCACCGCCUCCCUAACGGAGAUCGUCGACGCUCUCGAUGGACGGUGCGCCGCCGCCCCAGCGCGGGGGCACCGAAAACACAGGCGGCAACGUGGGCAAGCAGACUUUGACCCCGCGAGCUAUGCCCGGCGUCUGCUAGAGACGGCCCCCCGCUCGUGCACCUCGUCGACCGUCUCGGACGACGACGAUGGCGCGUACACCGAUGGCGACGAUGCCGGGUACGACCCCACCGGCCCCCGCCGUCGAGGCGCAGAGGUAGACAUAAGAGGUAAAGAGCGAUGUGAGACUACAGAGGGCAGCCAUGAUCGUCGUUCGCGUAGCGCGCCACCUGCGUCGUGCGGCCCCUCGCCAGCUGCGCUGAAGCGCGAGGCGCUCCUCCGCUCCGGCCCGACGUGGGCGACGGCGGCAGCUGAGCUCGGGCUCACCCCGACGGAGGUGCAAGACCUCCUGCGGUACAGCCUCAGCUCCCCCGAUGCUGCUGCCACGUGGCUUGCGGUCAGCAGCCGCCACGCACGUGAUGCCAAGCGAGUCGUCGAAGCUGCGGUGGAUACGGUGCCCGACGACGGCGUUGGUCGACGGCACGCAGGGCGGCAAAAAAAACGCAGCAGCAGCAGCGUUGCAGGCGGGUCUCCGUCAGAUGUGCACCCACGCCGCCCACACCGGUUGUCCUCCGCAUCGCUGGAUGUGGCAGCGCAGACCGCUCUGGUGCAGCGCAUCGUCGCGGCGAUGCCCGCCGUCCCUGCCGAGCUGCAGGACGAGUUGAGCCGUCAGCGCCGUCUUCUGGAGCGAGUCUGUCGCGAUGUGAGCUGCAUGAGCGCGCCGGCACGCGCUGCCGUGCGAGCACGCCUGGCGUCGCCGACCGUGUCCUCUGCGGCUGCUCGGCAACCGUCGCCGUUGGAGUUCAGCACCGGUGCGAGCGGAGGAGGGGCGCAGACAAAUCCAUCGGCAGCCGCAGAGACACACAACGUGCAGGUGCAGCACGAGGAGGAUCAACAGUUGCUGUUUGCAUCCCUACCGCGGCCGGCGGCGCAUGCGUUGAAGGCCGUCAGCGGCCUUCGCGGUGCCGCAGCGGACCCUUCACGGCCACUGCCACCUUUCCACGCCGUCGUGGCACGGCCCACGCUGUACGCUGUGCCUCAAACUCCAGCGCCCACGACGGGCAACGACGCCGCGGCGCCGCGAGAGCCAUACGAGGUCGCGCUGCGCGAACUAGCAGAGCGGGAGACGCGCCACUACGUCAGCGAGCUGGACCGUCUCCGUACCAUGUACGACCGCCAGCUUCAAGAGGAGCGCCGUCAGCGCCAGCAGGAGCGGCGGCAUUAUGCCGAGCUCCUCCAGAGCCAGCAGCACAAGAUGCUACGUCACCAUCGCGAGACAGUCCACCUGCUGCAGCGCGAGUGUCGCUUGCAACAGCAGCAGCAGGAAUCUCUCGUCCAGAAGCUGGCCGCCUCGCAAGCGGCAGCAGCGCAGCGCCAGCAAGCUCAGCAUGAGCAGACGACGAAGCACAUGCUCGCAGGCGCCGUGGACGUCAUGAAGAGCUACGCGACGGCAGAGGGUCUUCGAAGAGGCGGACAAGCGGAAAUGGAAGAGCCAGCUGGGGUGGCGGUAACCUCCAGAGCCAUGCAGAAACAUCGACGGCAGCAGCCGCGCGUGCACUUCGAGAGUGCGGCAAGCGGAGGGAGCAAGAGCAAGCGGGUCGUUGGCAGCCCAACUCCCUCACUGGCGGCGGCACACAGCCCUGAUGAUAGUGGCACCAGUGACGCUGGAAGGACGCAUAAAGCAACACGCGCUGAGGGCGUAACCGCAGCAGCAACGGUCGCUUCUGCCGCGGUCAACACACCCCCUCGCCCAUCCGUGUGUCUGCCUGUCGUCGGCGUCGCAUCGAGGAUGAGUCCACUCGAUGCGGGCAUUCCCACCGCGGAGCAUCUGAUCCCACCGCAGCCUGCAAGCAGUGCAGCGCAUCUGGGGCUUUCCUCAGUGUCGUCGCUAUCCGCGUCACCGUCACGGAGCACGCUCCCGUCGCCGUCACAUCCAAACACCGACAGCGACGGUGGGCGAGCGCCGAGCGCGCGCAGCACCAUGCGGCCCUCACCUCCAGCUGCGGCGCCGACAGCAGUUGGCAAGAGAGGAGAACAGCACCGCACCGCUACCGGCACGCUAUCGGUGGCUCCGUCUGCAUCAACUCUUGUGCCAACACCGGCGGCUAACACACCAGCAGGAGCAGCGGUUGCCAGUGCGGGACCUCCCAUGAACACACCAGCGAUGCUGCGUGCCGUGUACGGCGGCGAUGCUGGACCACCGCCGCGACAGCCGCGGACACAGGGGCGCAUGACGCUCCCUCUGCACGUGCGCCUCCCUCCUGAGGAUGAUAUGUCUACGCGCCAGCAUCUCGGCGUGGCUGCGCUGGAGGCCGAGUUGUCUGACGUACGCGCUGCCGCCGCCGCGCGUGAUGCCGGACUGGCGGAGGGGACACGCCUCUAUGGUGUCGUGCCCCGCCGGCCUCGCCUUCCCCACGCACCGUCCUCCUCCGACACCGGUGAGGUGGCAGUGGAGCGACUCAACCAGGCUGCCCCGCGCAGAGCGUUGUCGGCGUCGCCGUCGUCCGCGGCCGCCACACGGCACGCGCGCACCCCCGACGGCGAAAAGGCCAUUGGGAGGAGAAGCGCAGAGUCGCGGCGGAGCGGCAGCGGGCGUGGCCGUGGCGGUCAAAAAGGGAGAGGCCGCGUUGGGAAGGGCCCCAGGUCCUCCGCGGGCCGACGUGGGCGACGCACAUCACCGCACGCCACCGUUGGCGGAGGAAGCGGCGACGUCGCCGACCGCAGCAGGCGCCCCCUCCUUCGCCGCUUCGACACGGAGGUCGUGAGCGAGCUCUCCAGCGAGGCCGGCACAGCGCCCUCGCACGCGCGUCCUCUGCACGGUGCGUGGGGAACACCGGCGCCGAAUGCGGCCGCGUCCUCCACUGCAUACCCGUCGUCCGUCGCCCCGCAUGGUGAUGUGAUGGACGGCCGCGGCGUCGUGCCAGAACCAGCACAAUACAGAGGUAUGUGGUCAGAGGCGAUGCGCAUGGAUGACCAAGGCGCUCAUGGCGGGACGGGCCCGCAUCAGGAAGCGGACGAUGCUGCCGGGGUGACGGCGGGCAAGCCAUCGGUUGGGCGGCUGCAUGUGGUGCUGAGCCAACCUGCUGGUGGUGAAGUGGCAGCAGUCACGUGCGCGACGCGCAUCGCUGGCGCAGCGGCCUCACCGGUGCCACGCAUCCCGCAGGCGGUGGAUGCGCAGCUACGAGCGGCGCUGUAUCACCGCGCCGGCGUCCUCAGAGAACUCCGCCAAACGGCUUCGCCAGGCUUGUCGCCGGUGCAGAACGACGGAUCAACAGGCGACACGGACGGGCGCGCCGUCUUAAAUGUCGCGGGCUCCCUCCCUCCCUGCGACAGCGCCUUCUUUGGCGCCCCAGCCGAGGUUCUGAUCAACGCCACCGACAGCUGCGCCGUCGGAGAUGACGGUGACGGUGCGCUGCCAAGCAACCUCGACGUGGCGCCGGUGCCGCUGGUUAUGAUGAGUGACUACGCACGUGCGUGGGCCCGCUAUGCUGCCGCGGAGCGCGAGGUGGAGAGCCACGCGCAGGCGCUCGCGGCCGAAGACACCGGCGUGCUGGAGGCGGUCUCCAUCGCCCAAGAGCGUCGCCGGCGCGGUCGAGGAGAGGAGGACGACGCGGUGUCUGCGGUUGUCGUGGCAACGCCCCACCCAGCCAGCACUGCUGCGGCGGUGCGCUACCGCGAGCAGGAGCUCGGCUAUGGCGACCCGGCGCUGCGGGGAGGCAGCGUGCAUGUUUCGUCGCGCAUGGCUGCAGAAGCGCGGGCACUGACGGAGGCGCGCCGGCGGCUGUCGGCGAUCCGAGCAUGCUUCAUCGCGCCGCCAUCUCUCGGCACCGCCAGCGCACUUGGCAACGCAUCUAUCGGCAGGGUGACGGAGCCGGAUGCCACUGUGCGGGGCGCCGCACUCGUUCGCGAGCUCGUGGAUGCAACGGUGCUGAGUGUGCUUGAGGUGCAGGCACGAGGGGCGCACGAAGACCCGGUGCAGCAGGUGAUGGCUGCCAUGGAGCACGAGAUACUACGCCUCAUGCUGGUCGGCUGUCUUGAGGCGCGGGUAGAGAUCGCCUCUGGACCUGCCAAGGAGGAGAAUGCGCAUCCGCAGCGGACGAAGUCGCAACAGCGGCGGUUGGACGCCGAGCUCGCUUGCGCGAUCGCGGAGGCAGCACUGGAAGACGUCGUGCACGCCGCUCUAGAGCGCUCUUGUCACGACAAGAAAUUGCGCCAAGCCGCCACCACCUCCUCCUCCGACGUCACUGUCACCGCCACCAGUACGAUGACGACGACGGCUGCUCCGGCUCCACCCAUGGAUGCAUCUUCGGCGGCGGAGGUCGAUCCUCGCGAGCACGUAUCUGUCCCUCGCACCUCGUCCACCGCGUGGCUGCAAGACGACCCUGCGCCGCCAGAGACAGCGCCGCAACAGCAAGCGACACCGCAGCCGAAAGCCGUGGGAAAUGCGGAGAGGGAGGCAAACGCGAUCACGGCGACGGCGACGGUGGUCCUGCCGCCACCACGUGGCGACAACCGCGACGCCACCAGCCCUGCGGCGCCGCGGGCAGCAGAGCCAACACCGCAGGAAGUGCGCGUCGUGGUCGACCUCAGUCCUGUCGUGCGCCACAUGAUAACGUCGCGCAUCCCCGCCGCUGCCGUGCCCGCGUACGACUGGCAGCAGCAGCUGCACUGCCCGCCACCAUACCCGCCAAUCCAACAGGAGCAACUCCCCAGCCGAUGGAUGGCGCUCGAGGACCGCAGGGACAUCAUUGUGGAGGCCGAGAGCCCUUUGGUUGUGACGGAGACGAGGGCAGAGCUGCCAGCGCCAACUGUAGCGGAUGCAGAGAUGGCCGGCGAGCACACGUCUGUUGCUGUGCCCGCCACCGAUGGCGGCGGCCUGCCGUCGCUGGCUGUACCAGCACCCCCUCUCCCAGCCGUCGUGCCGCUGCCAGCAGCGGCUUCCGUUGAUUCGCCUUGUGCGCAUGUGGAAGACACGGCGACCCCAGCAGGUCGCACAACCUCGCACGACGCACCGCAGUUCACGCUAAUACGUCUGUUCCAGUCAGCGCUGCUCGACCAGGAGCGGCUGCAGCGCGCCAGUCUAGCUGACCGUGAGGAGGAGCAGCGUCGCGCCCACGAACUUCUCCGAGAGGUUUUGAAUGUCGCCGCAGAGCAAAGGACGUCGACAACACCGGCAGCAGCCGUCGCACUGCCCUCACCGUCCGCGGCCGCGAUCCCCACGGCUGAAUCCCAGCUUGCUCUGUCGCCACGACCGGUGGUCAACGCGGUCGCCGAUGGACCACGGCGCGAGGACGUGGGGACGACAGAGACCGCCACGUCGAGAUUCAGAGCACCGUCGCCGUCGCAGCCCCCGCCCAUUGCGACUCCCGCGACCUCUGCCUCGCGCUGCACUACGCCGCCACGGCCGCUCGUGCGGGACCCGGUGAUGGGAUUUGUGCUGGAGUGGGUGCGGCAGUUUGGCGCCUUGCAGCAGCAGCAGCAGCAGCAGUCAUCGAUGCAUGGCGCGGCGACCGCCACCUCCUCGGCUUCCUUGGUAGAGGGUCUCACCGCGGCAGCACGGACGGCGGCGCGGCAUGAUGCCGCACCGCUUGCGCAGGCUGCUGGGCACCGAUCACUGUCGGGCCCCUUCAUGCGAUACGCCGCGUCACGCCCCUCCACGCGCAACCUCGGCUCCUCGACGACAACGGCGUCCUCGUCGCUGCUGUCGCCGUCGCUGCCGUCGUCUCUGCACACGCGGUCAUCGUCAUCGUCGUCAUUGCUCGAAGACGAGGCGUGGGGGCACGCGAGAAUAACCGGAGAUUGGCACAGCGGCGAGCAACGUGCACGCGUGCCGCACCGCAUCUCAUCGGGAGCACCUUUAGAAGCAGCCCGAGUCUACCAGUGCGCGCCAAUACGCAAGGCGCGGCCGGUACUCGACACGCAGCGCGACGACACCUCUGCGUGCACUGCGACGACACGCUACACGACGGGGCGCAGCUCCGUGGCGUUCGCUUUCGCUGACGAACUGCGAGAGGGCAGAGCGGUGCCGUCAGGUUCGUCGGGCCUCCUCCCUCCUCGUGCAUCCGCCGAAGUGCAGGCGGCGAUGGCUGCAGCGCUGCGUGCGCAUCAGCAGGCCAACCGUGCCGAGGCAUGGGCAGCGGCGCCGGUAGAUGGUAGCCGCUUGGGGGCGACUGACAUCUCGCAGGGCUCUGCCGUGGGCAACAGCUCCUACGCCGUCUCGCUGCCGGCGCGCUCCGCACAGACGGCGGCCGCCAUCGGAACACCACCGCCGAUGGCCGCUGCAGCCGGUGUGCCGUCCAGCAGUCCUGCUAAGCUGCGUGCCCCUCCUCCCACAUGGUCCGCGACGACACGAGAGCCCGCCGAUGCGCGCGACGACGGCAACGGUGGAGCGAAGGACGCGGUGGAUGAUACGUGGAAGCUGAUACCGUCCGGUCGUACGAGAGACAAGGUUGCGGGCACAGUUGCCGUCGUAGGACCUCGCGACGCCUGGAAACAGCGCGCCACCCAACCGCGGUCGAGGUCGCCCCUUCGCACCGCUGAGUGGGUGUGCGUAAGCUUGACAAGCACGUCUACCAGCAGCCACAGCAACGAUCGCGGCGGCAGCGGCCGCGAGCCGAAUCAUGCUCACGCUGCUCAGGGCAACGGCUUCGCCCCGCCUGCGAUCAGCGAAGCCGCGCCGGCAUCAUCUGCGCUGCCGUUCAUGUCCGCGCGAGCGCGCAGUGCAACCGCGCCGGCGAGGACGAAAGGUGUAUAACAAGCUCCCCCGCCCACGGCGCAGCCUCUGCCAGCAACCGCCGCCGCAGUGCCCAUGCCGUCCUCACCGUCAUCGCGGCACAACCGCGGUAACCUUCUGCAAGCACAGGUGUUACGCAUCCAGCAGGAACAGCGUGCCAAGGCCGCGCGCCAGCACUCGUAGCAGCUGUAGCAGCAGCAGGCGCCACCAACGGCCCUCCUCAGUCGGCCCUGCCGGUCCCCACCCCCCUCUUCUCCCUCUCCGUCCUCCUCGCUCUUAGUUCAGGAGUGCCCGUGCGUUCUUCCACGUUGUAUGCGCGCGACGUCGCCUCGGCGUCGACACUGCGCGGGAACCGUCCGCCGAAGCCGAAGCGAAGCGAAGCGAUGGCGACAGCAGCAGCAGCAGCAGCAGCAGCAUCCAUGUGCCUGUGCGAGCAGGCGCCGGCACUGUAGUGUCUGCCCCUCCUCCCGUCACUCCGCGGGCCCUCACCCUACGCAUCCCCGUCCGUACCAACCUCCUCCUCCCUUGCACAUGCGCCAGCCACCCGGGUCAAAUCAUCCCUCGCCUCUGUUCGCUGAACCUCCUCGUCCCGCUUCUUCUCUUCCUCCAG
rnacentral:misc_RNA from 1 species